GGCCGGGUGGUGUAGCGGUAACACAUCCUCUUUACUUAUUCAAUCAGUGGAUUUGAACAAUUUAAGAGAAACUGCCUUGUUCGACUCAAGGUCCGGCCA